UACAGAGGCCUCGAGCGUUAGGCGGAAUCACUGGGCUUAAAGCGUGUGUAGGCGGAUGCCUAAGUACCUUGUGAAAUCCCACGGCUCACCCGUGGAACGGCUGGGUAUACUGGGUGUCUUGAGCCACUUAGGGGCUGCCGGAACAAAUGGUGGAGCGGUGAAAUGCGUAGAUAUCAGGAGGAACACCGGUGGCGAAGGCGGGUCUCUGGGCCGAUACUGACGCUGAGGAGCGAAAGCGUGGGGAGCGAACAGG
rnacentral:rRNA from 1 species